CCCUUAGAUGUUCUGGGCCGCACACGCGCUACACUGAAGGAGGCAGCGUGUACUCCUGGAUCGAAAGAUUUGGGUAACCCGCGAAUCUCCUUCGUGCUAGGGAUUGAGGUUUGCAAUUAUCCUUCAUGAACGAGGAAUUCCCAGUAAGUGCAAGUCAUAAGCUUGCGCUGACUACGUCCCUGCCCUUUGUACACACCGCCCGUCGCUCCUACCGAUUGAAUGGUCCGGUGAAGCGCUCGGACCGCGGCCUCUUGACGGUUCGCUGUCGAUUGGCUGUGGGAAGUUCGUUAAACCUUAUCAUUUAGAGGAAGGAGAAGUCGUAACA
rnacentral:rRNA from 1 species